GGGAUUAGAUACCCCACUAUGCUUAGCCUUAAACCCAGAUGUUAAAUUUACAAGCAACAUCCGCCAGGGUACUACAAGCGCUAGCUUAAAACCCAAAGGACUUGACGGUGUCUCAGACCCACCUAGAGGAGCCUGUUCUAGAACCGAUAAUCCCCGUUAAACCUCACCACCCCUUGUUUUCCCCGCCUAUAUACCGCCGUCGCAAGCUUACCCUGUGAAGGUCCCAUAGUAAGCAAAAUGGGUAAAUCCCAAAACGUCAGGUCGAGGUGUAGCUUACGAGGUGGGAAGAAAUGGGCUACAUUUUCUGUAUCAGAAUAAUACGAACGGCAUCAUGAAAUUGAUUCCCAAAGGUGGAUUUAGUAGUAAAAAACAAAUAGAGAGUCUUUUUGAACCAGGCUCUGAGACGCGCACACACCGCCC
rnacentral:rRNA from 1 species